rnacentral:rRNA from 1 species
GAUGAACGCUAGCGGCAGGCCUAAUACAUGCAAGUCGAACGGAUAUAUGUUUUCGGAUUAUAUUUAGUGGCGCACGGGUGAGUAACACGUACAUAACUUACCCUCAAGAGGGGGAUAGCCUUGGGAAACUGAGCGUAAUACCCCAUAGUAUUAUUGAACGGCAUCGUUUGAUAAUUAAAGCUACGGCGCUUGAGGAUAGAUGUGCGUCUGAUUAGCUAGUUGGCAAGGUAACGGCUUACCAAGGCGACGAUCAGUAGGGGGCGUGAGAGCGUGGCCCCCCCACACGGGUACUGAGACACGGACCCGACUCCUACGGGAGGCAGCAGUAAGGAAUAUUGGUCAAUGCCCGGAAGGGUGAACCAGCCAUGCCGCGUGAAGGAUGACUGCCCUCUGGGUUGUAAACUUCUUUUGGAUGGGACGAAAAAACGGGAUUUAUCCUGGACUGACGGUACCAUCAGAAUAAGCACCGGCUAACUCCGUGCCAGCAGCCGCGGUAAAGUAGUCGUG